AACCAUAGAAACCUGCGGAGUACCUGCGGAAGGAUCAUUAACCUUUCAAAUCAGGGUGCGGCGCGGCCCCCGAGGAGCGGAAACAAUCCUUGGGAGGUAUGCGGGGGCUUCGAGCCCCCCAUUUACGCACGCACGACUGCCAUCCUUACUUUACGAGCACCUUCUGUUCUCCCUCGGCGGGGCAACCUGCCGUUGGAACCGAAUAAACUCUUUUUGCAUCUAGCAUUACCUGUUCCGAAA
rnacentral:misc_RNA from 1 species